rnacentral:rRNA from 1 species
GUGAGUCAUCGAGUCUUUGAACGCACAUUGUGCCCCUCGGUAUCCCGGGGGGCAUGCCUGUUCGAGCGUCAUUUCUAACACUCAAGUUCUACUUGGUAUUGGGCACUGUUAUUUCCGUCUUUUAGAUGGUAAACUACGCCUUAAAUUUAGCCGGCAACAAGCACCAGUUCCGAGCGUAGCAGUAAAAACUUUCGCUUUUGGGAGCUUUGGAUGCAUUGUUCACCGUAUAGUUUUUCUAUAGUUUGACCUCGGUAUCAGGUAGGGAUACCCGCUGAACUUAAGCAUAUCAAUAAGCGGAGG